rnacentral:misc_RNA from 1 species
AACACAUAUCAACUCUAAAGUAAUGAAUAGAUUCCAAAGAGCAUAGAACAUGAAAUUUCUCAUUUCUCAUACACCAUGAUUUUGUCUGCACUCUGCACCAUGUUUUCAUGGCGAGAAAACAAAAGUUUACACUUUUUAUGACAUACUAGUGAAUCCCCCAUCCAUUUCAAGGAAAUGGCUCAUCCACUGUAAGUUCAAAGGAUCUUCAUUGGAGAAAUCAAAAAAAUCAUCUACAUUAAAACUGGCAUCGGAGUCUACACCUCCUGUAUUAUUACUAGAUGAGUUCUCUUCUUUCACCUCCACAAUAUCCACCUUCUCUGUUGUCAUUUUCCCAUCUCUGGAUUCUUCUCUUGCUGAAGCUCCACUAUGUUUCUCUUUUUGGUUUAUUUUCUUGCUCAAAUGAGAAUUCCAGUAAUUCUUGAUUUCAUUAUCUGUUCUACCAGGUAAUCUUCCAGCGAUCAAGGACCAUCUAUUUCCUAGUAGUUUAUGAAGCCUAAGAAUCAAGUCCUCUUCUUGGUCUGAUAUAUUGCCUCUCUUGAUAUUUGGUCUUAAGUAAUUCAACCACCUCAGUCUGCAACUCUUACCACACCGAUUAAGGCCUGCUUUGGCUGCAAUUAUCUUCCAUCUUUUUGCACCAUGGAUUGCAAUAACCUCGGCUAAUUUUCUAUCUUCUUCUGGCGUCCAU